GCCAGACUCCUACGGGAGGCAGCAGUAGGGAAUAUUGCUCAAUGGGGGAAACCCUGAAGCAGCAACGCCGCGUGGAGGAUGAAGGUUUUCGGAUUGUAAACUCCUUUUGUUAGAGAAGAUAAUGACGGUAUCUAACGAAUAAGCACCGGCUAACUCCGUGCCAGCAGCCGCGGUAAUACGGAGGGUGCAAGCGUUAUCCGGAUUUAUUGGGUUUAAAGGGUGCGCAGGCGGCACGGCAAGCCGGCGGUCAAAUCGCGGGGCUCAACCCCGCCCAGCCGUCGGAACUGCCGGGCUAGAGUGGGCGAGAAGUGCGCGGAAUGCGUGGUGUAGUGGUGAAAUGCAUAGAUAUCACGCAGAACCCCGAUUGCGAAGGCAGCAUGCCGGCUUCCGACUGAUGCUGAAGCACGAAAGCGUUGGGAUCGAACAGGAUUAGAUACCCCCGUAUAG
rnacentral:rRNA from 1 species